CCCUUCAGCCUCUGGAGGUUGCUCUGAACUCUGUUAGCUCUUCUCUCACUUUCUUUUUCCUGCCAGGGUAAUAGGAAUGACCUCCUUUUGUUUCACUGAAACUCUGAAUUUAUAACCUGGUUUUUGUGGACCCGUGGGCUCAAAUGAGAGAGGCCCAAGUCCAAUUUUUUUUUGUUAUAUUUUAUUUAUUUAUUUAUUUUUAUUUAUUUAUUUUAGUAAACAAAAGUAAGAGAAACAAUGAUGUAGAAUUCAAGCAUGCUUGGUGAUCUCAAACCAAUCACAAGGAGUCCCACCCAAAGGCAAA
rnacentral:lncRNA from 1 species